rnacentral:lncRNA from 1 species
CAACAAAAUAAUAAUCAGUAGAGUCAACAGACAACCUACAGAAUGGGAGAAAAUAUUUGCAAACUAUGGAUCUGUCAAAGGACUGAUAUCUAGAGUCUACAAGGAACACAAACAACAAGAAAAAACAAUCCAUUAAAAAGUGGGCAAAGGACAUGAACAGACAUGUCCUCGAAAGAAGACAUACAAGUGGCCAACAUACAUAUGAAAAAUUCUCAACAUCACUAGUCAUCAGAGAAAUGCAAAUUAAAACCACAAUGAGAUACAUCUCACAUCAGUCAGAAUGAGUACUAUGAAGUCAAAAAACAGCAGACGUUAGUGUGGACACACAGAAAAGGGAAUGCUUAUACACUGUUGGUGGGAAUGUAAAUUAGUUCAUCUAUGUAUUAAUAAAACAGUAUGGAGAGUCUUCAAAGAAUGAAAAAUAGAACUACCAUUCAACCCAGCAAUCCCACUACUAGGCAUCUACCAAAAGGAAAAAAAAUAUUAUGUCUAAAAGACAUGUGAGCUUGUAUGUUUAAUGCAGCCCUAUUCACAACAAAAUCAUGGAAUCAAAGUGUCCAUCAAUAGUUGAUUGAUUGGAUAAAGAAAGUGUGAUAUAUAUAUACACCAUGGAAUACUAUGCAGGCAAAAAAAAGAAAUCAUGUCCUUUGCAGCUGGAGGCAUCUAUCUAUCUAUCUAUCUAUCUAUCUAUCUAUCUAUCUAUCUAUCUAUCUAGAUAUCGGUAUAUCUAGAUAUAGAUAGAUAUGAAAAGCUUA